ensembl:lncRNA
GAGCAGUUGCAUGUGGGCCUCUCUAACGGCUCCUCAAUCCUGCUGCUUGAGAUAAAGGAAUGCUGUGACACAGCAGCACACACACACACACACAUACACACACACACACACACACACACACGCACACACAAACACACACACAAACACAUACAAACCCUUCCGUUGCUGUUUUUCAGAAACACACUUGUCUGGCUCGUUUUAAGCCACCUCGCCUAUUAUAGCCACAUACGUUAAAAGUUAACGUUAAACCACGUUAAAGGCCAGGUCAUUUCUAUUAUUAGUAGGAUUCCUCCACACCUUGCAGUAGGACUCCACCAUUACAGUACAGUAUUCAGUUUUUACUCCUCAUUCACAUUUUGUCCAAUACUUACCAAAAUUGGCUCAGAUGAUCAGUGGACCGAGAUGGACAAAAAUCACUGAACAGAAUUUUGAUAUUCAUAUAAAAAGUUAUGAUGUCACAGUUUUCACGAUGUUGACCCAAAAUUGGAUCAGAGGCUGUAUCUCGGCAAGACUUUGAUCAAUUGUAACGAAACUUGGUACACUUCAUCAGCCACAUGAUUUAUGGGUCCAGGCUAAAUUUGAGAACAGCGCCACCAACCUGAGAUUUGAAAAAUGAAUAUUUUUGCUUAUAACUUUUGGAUACUUUGUCAGAAAAUUAUGAUCCUGAUGUCUCAUUUUUGGUGGCAUUACAUGUGUGAUGUAGUGUGAUAAACAGGAAACAUCAAUGCUAAAGGUCCUGGGUUUGAUUUCUGUGUGGUGUAAGUUCUUAAAAGUUUGUACAAUGUUUUGUCUUUCAGUUCCUUUCGUUUGUGGCUCAAUAUUGAAGUAACCUUUCAACUUCUUGGCAUGAAAAUAAAUGCCUCUGUUCUGUUCAUUUCCCAUUCAAUCUUAUUCUCAUCUGUGCUUCUGAACCUAUCUUUUAUUCAUUGAUGUACAUUCUAUUUCUCCUCUUCAUGUUCUCCAGGCUCCGCAUUGCUCUUUCAGUGCCUUUGGUGCUUGCCCCCUUUAAAUGCUGCUUGCAGAUUUAAUUUGUAUUCUUCUGUCAGGAGAAAACCUAUUGUUAUUGUUAGUCUUCUCCUUCUUCCUCUUCUUCUUCUUAUUAGUCUCCUCAUCUCUCUAAAGUGCUCAAUAACUCAAGAUCUAAAUGGUAAAAAGUUCUAAAAUUUGGCAGAUUGAUACUACAGGCCCCGAAUAACUGCCCCACCAUAAAUUACCCAGAUGAGCCCAUAGGUGUCGCUACAGGCCAUUCCCUCC